rnacentral:sRNA from 1 species
UUUAUCUUUGUAUCUUCUA